rnacentral:rRNA from 1 species
UACGUAGGGGGCAAGCGUUGUCCGGAUUUAUUGGGCGUAAAGAGCGUGUAGGCGGCCAGAUAGGUCGGUUGUGAAAACUGGAGGCUCAACCUCCAGACGUCGACCGAAACCAUCUGGCUAGAGUCCGGAAGAGGAGAGUGGAAUUCCUGGUGUAGCGGUGAAAUGCGCAGAUAUCAGGAAGAACACCCGUGGCGAAGGCGGCUCUCUGGGACGGUACUGACGCUGAGGCGCGAAAGCGUGGGGAGCGAACAGG